UACGGGGGGGGCAAGCGUUGUUCGGAAUUACUGGGCGUAAAGGGCUCGUAGGUGGCCAACUAAGUCAGACGUGAAAUCCCUCGGCUUAACCGGGGAACUGCGUCUGAUACUGGAUGGCUUGAGUUUGGGAGAGGGACGCGGAAUUCCAGGUGUAGCGGUGAAAUGCGUAGAUAUCUGGAGGAACACCGGUGGCGAAGGCGGCGUCCUGGACCAACACUGACACUGAGGUGCGAAAGCGUGGGGAGCAAACAGG
rnacentral:rRNA from 1 species